UUACAUAUUAUUAGCUCCCCUGAGGCUUUAUUAUCAGCCAGUGGAACUGUAAGCGAGAUGUCACAGUUGGAGGAAACUAGGAAGUUUCAUCUUUCUCUUUAUUCUAAGGACGAUUUGAACCAUGUGGAUGUUGGAUUAGCAGGUGGCUUGUUGAAAGACGUGAGAGUGACUAAACAGGUAA